CCUACGGGUGGCAGCAGUGAGGAAUAUUGGUCAAUGGACGAGAGUCUGAACCAGCAAAGUAGCGUGAAGGAUGACUGCCCUAUGGGUUGUAAACUUCUUUUAUCUGGGAAUAAAACGUUCCACGUGUGGGAUUUUGUAUGUACCAUAUGCAUAAGGAUCGGCUAACUCCGUGCCAGCAGCCGCGGUAAUACGGAGGAUCCGAGCGUUAUCCGGGUUUAUUGGGUUUGAAGGGAGCGUAGGUGGAUUGUUAAGUCAGUUGUGAAAGUUUGCGGCUCAACCGUAAAAUUGCAGUUGAAACUGGCAGUCUUGAGUACAGUAGAGGUGGGCGGAAUUCGUGGUGUAGCGGUGAAAUGCUUAGAUAUCACGAAGAAAUCCGAUUGCGAAGGCAGUUCACUGGACUGCAACUGACACUGAGGCUCGAAAGUGUGGGUAUCAAACAGGAUUAGAUACCCCUGUAGUC
rnacentral:rRNA from 1 species